rnacentral:rRNA from 1 species
GAUGAACGCUGGCGGUGUGCCUAAUACAUGCAAGUCGAGCGAACAGACGAGGAGCUUACUCCUCUGACGUUAGCGGCGGACGGGUGAGUAACACGUGGAUAACCUACCUAUAAGACUGGGAUAACUUCGGGAAACCGGAGCUAAUACCGGAUAACAUGUUGAACCGCAUGGUUCAACAGUGAAAGACGGUCUUGCUGUCACUUAUAGAUGGAUCCGCGUCGCAUUAGCUAGUUGGUAAGGUAACGGCUUACCAAGGCAACGAUGCGUAGCCGACCUGAGAGCGUGAUCGGUCACACUGGAACUGAGACACGGUCCAGACUCCUACGGGAGGCAGCAGUAGGGAAUCUUCCGCAAAGGGCGAAAGCCUGACGGAGCAACGCCGCGUGAGUGAAGAAGGUCUUCGGAUCUUAAAACUCUGUUAUUAGGGAAGAACAAAUGUGUAAGUAACUAUGCACGUCUUGACGGUACCUAAUCAGAAAGCCACGGCUAACUACGUG